GCCGGGUGUGGUGGUUCACGCCUGUAAUCCCAGCACUUUGGGAGGCAGAGGCGGGCGGAUCACCUGAGGUCAGGAGUUCAAGACCAGCCUGACCAACAAGGUGAAAUCCUGUCUCAA
ensembl:misc_RNA Metazoa_SRP Metazoan signal recognition particle RNA